rnacentral:rRNA from 1 species
GACGAACGCUGGCGGCGUGCUUAACACAUGCAAGUCGAACGGAAAGGCCCUGCUUGCAGGGUACUCGAGUGGCGAACGGGUGAGUAACACGUGGGUGAUCUGCCCUGCACUUCGGGAUAAGCUUGGUAAACUGGGUCUAAUACCGGAUAGGAGCCAUCUUUAGUGUGGUGGUUGGAAAGUUUUUUCGGUGUAGGAUGAGCUCGCGGCCUAUCAGCUUGUUGGUGGGGUAAUGUCCUACCAAGGCGGCGACGGGGAGCCGGCCUGAGAGAGUGUACGGCCACAGUGGGACUGAGAUACGGCCCAGACUCCUACGGGAGGCAGCAGUGGGGAAUAUUGCACAAUGGGCGCAAGCCUGAUGCAGCGACGCCGCGUGGGGGAUGAAGGCCUUCGGGUUGUAAACUCCUUUCGCUAGGGACGAAGCUUUGUUGUGACGGUACCUAGAUAAGAAGCACCGGCUAACUACGUG